UGCAAGUCGAGCGGAGUUGUGGUGCUUGCACCAUAACUUAGCGGCGGACGGGUGAGUAAUGCUUAGGAAUCUGCCUAUUAGUGGGGGACAACGUUUCGAAAGGAACGCUAAUACCGCAUACGCCCUACGGGGGAAAGCAGGGGAUCUUCGGACCUUGCGCUAAUAGAUGAGCCUAAGUCAGAUUAGCUAGUUGGUGGGGUAAAGGCCUACCAAGGCGACGAUCUGUAGCGGGUCUGAGAGGAUGAUCCGCCACACUGGGACUGAGACACGGCCCAGACUCCUACGGGAGGCAGCAGUGGGGAAUAUUGGACAAUGGGGGGAACCCUGAUCCAGCCAUGCCGCGUGUGUGAAGAAGGCCUUUUGGUUGUAAAGCACUUUAAGCGAGGAGGAGGCUCUUCUAGUUAAUACCUAGGAUGAGUGGACGUUACUCGCAGAAUAAGCACCGGCUAACUCUGUGCCAGCAGCCGCGGUAAUACAGAGGGUGCGAGCGUUAAUCGGAUUUACUGGGCGUAAAGCGUACGUAGGCGGCUUUUUAAGUCGGAUGUGAAAUCCCUGAGCUUAACUUAGGAAUUGCAUUCGAUACUGGGAAGCUAGAGUAUGGGAGAGGAUGGUAGAAUUCCAGGUGUAGCGGUGAAAUGCGUAGAGAUCUGGAGGAAUACCGAUGGCGAAGGCAGCCAUCUGGCCUAAUACUGACGCUGAGGUACGAAAGCAUGGGGAGCAAACAGGAUUAGAUACCCUGGUAGUCCAUGCCGUAAACGAUGUCUACUAGCCGUUGGGGCC
rnacentral:rRNA from 1 species